CCUGUCCAGAGACAACCUGACCUCAUUAUAGCUUCAGAGAGAUUUUCAACCAAAGGAGCUACCAGAGGUAUCAGUCCUGAAAGGGCAUCUUGGAGUUUAAGGAAGCCUUGCUGAAAGACAUAGGCCAAGCCCUUAGAACUGCCUGAGAGGCAGAGGCCCAAAGAAGCCAACAGUGGGGCGUAAGGAGGAGGCUCCUCCUUGGACAUGAUGUCCAAGCUCACAUGCCUCAAAGUGUAUAGAAGUCUCUGCACCUGACAAAAGGCUUCUGGAGUCCCCCCAGAAUUCCCCCCAGUUCUCAGGAUUACAAAGAAGAUGGAGAGACAAAGAUAGGCUGGACAUCACAGUGGGGGAAAGUGCUUUGAGAAAACACAGCCAGGCACAGGCCAGAAGUGACAAGGAUUCAGUACCUCCAGGAGCAGUCCUCUGUCCUCAGCCAGUGACAGAUGGGAACAAGAGGAUAUCAUUCAGCUGGCUUCUCCCUGUGUGGCCUAACUCUGCACUGGCUCCCAGAGUCCCGAAGCAGGCUCCAGUCUCAAUUGCCCACAGUAAACUGCUUAUAAUAUACCUUCCAUUGGCUUCCUUCACUUCCUUCUCAUGCACUU